CUACGGGAGGCAGCAGUGGGGAAUAUUGCACAAUGGGCGAAAGCCUGAUGCAGCGACGCCGCGUGAGGGAUGACGGCCUUCGGGUUGUAAACCUCUUUCAGCACGGAAGAAGCGAAAGUGACGGUACGUGCAGAAGAAGCGCCGGCUAACUACGUGCCAGCAGCCGCGGUAAUACGUAGGGCGCAAGCGUUGUCCGGAAUUAUUGGGCGUAAAGAGCUCGUAGGCGGUUUGUCGCGUCUGCUGUGAAAGCCCGGGGCUUAACCCCGUGGUGUGCAGUGGGUACGGGCAGACUAGAGUGCAGUAGGGGAGACUGGAAUUCCUGGUGUAGCGGUGAAAUGCGCAGAUAUCAGGAGGAACACCGAUGGCGAAGGCAGGUCUCUGGGCUGUUACUGACGCUGAGGAGCGAAAGCAUGGGGAGCAAACAGGAUUAGAUACCCGGGUAGUCC
rnacentral:rRNA from 1 species